rnacentral:rRNA from 1 species
GCAGGCUGCAACUCGCCUGCAUGAAGUUGGAAUUGCUAGUAAUCGCGAAUCAGAAUGUCGCGGUGAAUACGUUCCCGGGCCUUGUACACACCGCCCGUCACACCAUGAGAGUCGAUAACACCCGAAGCCUGUGAGCUAACCUUUAGGAGGCAGCAGUCGAAGGUGGGGUUGAUGAUUGGGGUGAAGUCGUAACAAGGUAGC